GAUGAAGAACGUAGCGAAAUGCGAUAAGUAAUGUGAAUUGCAGAAUUCAGUGAAUCAUCGAAUCUUUGAACGCACAUUGCGCCCCUUGGUAUUCCGAGGGGCAUGCCUGUUCGAGCGUCAUUAUAACCCUCAAGCUCAGCUUGGUGUUGGGGCCUGCUGCACUGGCAGCCCUUAAAAUCAGUGGCGGCGCCAUCUGGCUCUAAGCGUAGUAAUUCUUCUCGCUAUGGAGACCUGGUGGAUGCUUGCCAUCAACCCCCAAUUUUUCUAUGGUUGACCUCGGAUCAGGUAGGGAUACCCGCUGAACUUAAGCAUAUCAAUAAGCGGAGGA
rnacentral:misc_RNA from 1 species